CCGUUAUCCCGGAAAUUAUUGGGCGUAAAAGAAGCUCGUAGGCGGUUUGUCGCGUCUGCCGUGAAAGUCCCGGGGCUUAACUCCGGAUCUGCGGUGGGUACGGGCAGACUUGAGUGAUGUAGGGGAGACUGGAAUUCUGGUGUAGCGGUGAAAUGCGCAGAUAUCAGGAGGAACACCGAUGGCGAAGGCAGGUCUCUGGGCAUUAACUGACGCUGAGGAGCGAAAGCAUGGGGAGCGAACAGGAUUAGAUACCCUGGUAGUCCAUGCCGUAAACGUUGGGCACUAGGUGUGGGGGACAUUCCACGUUUUCCGCGCCGUAGCUAACGCAUUAAGUGCCCCGCCUGGGGAGUACGGCCGCAAGGCUAAAACUCAAAGGAAUUGACGGGGGCCCGCACAAGCGGCGGAGCAUGCGGAUUAAUUCGAUGCAACGCGAAGAACCUUACCAAGGCUUGACAUGAACCGGAACGGCGCAGAGAUGUGUCGGCCACUUGUGGCCGGUUUACAGGUGGUGCAUGGUUGUCGUCAGCUCGUGUCGUGAGAUGUUGGGUUAAGUCCCGCAACGAGCGCAACCCUCGUUCCAUGUUGCCAGCGGGUUAUGCCGGGGACUCAUGGGAGACUGCCGGGGUCAACUCGGAGGAAGGUGGGGACGACGUCAAAUCAUCAUGCCCCUUAUGUCUUGGGCUUCACGCAUGCUACAAUGGCCGGUACAAAGGUUUGCGAUGAU
rnacentral:rRNA from 1 species